rnacentral:lncRNA from 1 species
AUUGAAUUAAAAUUAAAAUAUUGGCAUGUGUUCUAUGCCAAAAACUCAGAAGGAAAAUAUCAGGCAGGGUGUGUUGUUGCCACUUAUAAUAAAUGAAUAGGGAAUGGAAUUCUUCCUCAAUUUAAGUCAACUCAAGCUGCAGAGCGUUUUGCCCUCACCCAAGCUUGUCAUGUGGUGUAUUUCCACUACCUGAUGGAACAAAGCACAUUUACCGAUGGACUUCAUUCAGCUGCCACCCUUAGUGAGAUAUCAUCUAGAACCUGGAGAAUGGGUCUUCUGGAAAUGCCAUCACAGGAAGGCUGCUCUUGAACCUUGUUGGAAGGGGCCAUACCAAGUUCUUCUCACAACCCACACUGCAGUGAAGCUUCAGGACCUUAAACGUUGGAUCCACAUCUCACACCUCAAAAGCGCCCCUUCAGACUCCUGGAACUGUACGCCUGCUGGAGAUUUUAAGGAAAAUCCAUGGGACCAUACGCAAUGGAUGGCUUUAGCUCAAGAUUAUGCUCUAAUACAAAACCAUUAAUUGUUGGGUUAGUUAGUUAAUGCCAAAAAAUCAAGAAACAAUUACACUGAUGCCAAUGCCUCUCAACAUUUGCAAUGACAAUCACCUUGAAACUCCAAGGGAAGAAUAAAAAGCUAUCCUUGAUAUUCUAAACAUUGUUGCUACUUGCUUUCCUGCAUUCACUAAAAAUAGCACUCUUAUUUUUUAAUAAAUAAUAUAGAAAACAAAUCCAAAUGAUGCCUGCAAAAGGUAUGUUAUGCUUCCUGGCAUUACACACUCAAGAUUUGGGAAUCAUCUAUGCGGUUACAAUUAUUUGCUUGGAUUAAAUCCAGUUGGGUCUCUUUUUACUAAAUGUGGAGAUAUAUAUAUAUAUAUAUAUAAAAUAUAUAUAUACACACACACACACACACACACACGCACACUAAAUGUGGAGAUAUAUAUCUACACAUUUAUAUAUAUAUAUAUACACACACAUAUAUAUAUAUAUGGUCUCCACAUUUAUGUGUGUGUGUAUAUAUAUUACAUAUAUAGAUUCCUCUAUAUAUACACACACAUAAAUGUGGAGACAUACAUGUAUAGAGGAAUAUAUAU